rnacentral:rRNA from 1 species
UACGUAGGGAGCUAGCGUUGUUCGGAAUUACUGGGCGUAAAGCGCACGUAGGCGGCUAUUCAAGUCAGAGGUGAAAGCCCGGGGCUCAACUCCGGAAUUGCCUUUAAGACUGCAUCGCUAGAAUUGUGGAGAGGUAAGUGGAAUUCCGAAGUGUAGAGGUGAAAUUCGUAGAUAUUCGGAAGAACACCAGUGGCGAAGGCGACUUACUGGACACAUAUUGACGCUGAGGUGCGAAAAGCGUGGGGAGCAAACAGG